rnacentral:rRNA from 1 species
CAGCCGCCACGGUAAAACGGAGGGUGCAAGCGUUAAUCGGAAUUACUGGGCGUAAAGCGCACGCAGACGGUUUGUUAAGUCAGAUGUGAAAUCCCCGAGCUUAACUUGGGAACUGCAUUUGAAACUGGCAAGCUAGAGUCUUGUAGAGGGGGGUAGAAUUCCAGGUGUAGCGGUGAAAUGCGUAGAGAUCUGGAGGAAUACCGGUGGCGAAGGCGGCCCCCUGGACAAAGACUGACGCUCAGGUGCGAAAGCGUGGGGAGCAAACAGGAUUAGAUACCCCGGUAGUCCCUGUCUCUUAUAC